CCGGGGAGUGUAACGCUUUUUCAGUUUAGCUGCUGCUCAUAACAGCUGUGCGGCGUCUGGAAGCACUGUGUGGAAAGGCAAAUUACGGUAAAAGUAGGUCCCAACUCUACCACAUGGUCAGCUAAUUUAUCUCGCCUUCUGAACCUGUUAGCUCGGCUCAGAAAUGGAGGCCAUCGUAUGUCUUAGAAUAAUACCAGCUUCUUGGAUUGCUAUGAAGAAAAUGGAAGAGCCAACCCUCAAAUUCACUUGAAAUUGCAAGGAGCUCAGGCUAUCCAAAGCAAUCUCAAAAUAGAAGAAAAAGUUGCAAGACUGAGAUUUCCAGAUUUCAAAACUUACAAAGAGUGACACCAAGCAAGUUUUCAGGAGCUCCAGAAACAGCAGAGACGUGUAGUGAGAGCAUUCUGACUAGAAAAACGAAAGGAACCCUGAAGAUCAAUGUCAGCCCUGAACACACCCACCCCUGGGGUGUAGAAUGAGUGUUUUCCACUAGAAUGCGACCCAGUAUCUAGGCUGGCGGCUUCCCUUGGUUUCCCUUGAGGAAAGCUGGCUUAAGCAUCAAAGAGAGUGGAGCAGACCUGGUUUUAAGUCAAGGCCUCCGCCAAGUAGCCAGGCGUGCACACAUCCCUGGAAAGGUCUUAUCCCUCCCACCUUCUCCUCCCUCUAAACCCAGCCCCAGGCACCUGGAUUUGUUUAUUUUUAUUCAAGAACUGGGGUAAAGGCCAGAUGUGCGGCAGGUUGAGAGGAUUCACUAGAGACAGAGCGGGGAGUGGA